rnacentral:rRNA from 1 species
CCUGAGAAACCCAAAAGAUCGAAUGGGGAGAUUCAUCGUCAGCUCAUUUUGUAUAUAUAUAAGUUAUGAUGCGGGUUACUACUUGUAGUAUUGCCUGCACAUUCUUUUAUAUUUUGUUGCAAGGUGUUGUCGGCGUGCACUUCUCCCCUAGUAGGACGUCGCGACCCGUUGGGUGUCGGUUUACGGCCCAAGUGAUAGACUUUAAUGUAAUUUAAAAAACAUUGAAGAUCCUUGGUGUUUUCUAACCGGCUACUCGGCGGUACUCGUACGGUAUUUAGCCGCUAAAUUUAAUUUAGCGUCCAUGUCCGUCACAAGCGAGGCUAAUUUUUACUGAUAGUACGGACCUAGUGCCGUCGUUGGUAUUGGCCAGCUGUUGGUUGUACGGUAUUCUAGGACUGGCUAAAAUUAAUUACCGGUCGGCGAUGCUACUGCUUUGGGUACUUUCAGG